AAGUCGUAACAAGGUUUCCGUAGGUGAACCUGCGGAAGGAUCAUUGUCGAAACCUGCAUAGCAGAACACCUUGUGAACAAGUACCUACAAUGUGGCUUUUUGGGUUUCAAGCUUUUAGUUUGAGACUCCGGAAGUCUUGCUACCAUGUGUUCAUGAUUUCCGUUUAAAGGAAUCAUGGACGCAUUGGGAGCGCAUUAACAAACCCCCGGCACAACAUGUGCCAAGGAAACCAAAACCUAAGAUGGCCAGUGCAUUGACACCUCGUUUACGGUGUGUGCUUUUGCGGUGGCUUCUUUGUAAUUAUAAACGACUCUCGGCAACGGAUAUCUCGGCUCACGCAUCGAUGAAGAACGUAGCAAAAUGCGAUACUUGGUGUGAAUUGCAGAAUCCCGUGAACCAUCGAGUUUUUGAACGCAAGUUGCGCCUGAAGCCAUUUGGCAGAAGGCACGUCUGCCUGGGCGUCACGCAUCAAAACGCUCCCAUCAUCCUCCCUUUAAAGGACGGAUGCGUCAUGGGGCGGAGAUUGGUCUCCUGUGCUGUUUGUGUAGUUGGCCUAAAUGAGAGUCCCAUCGAGAUGGACGCAUGACUAGUGGUGGUUGAUAACACAGUCGUCUCGUGUUGUGCGUUGUGAACUUGGAGGGAUCAACUCUUUGAGCACCCCAUUGUUUUGUCUUAGGAUGAUGCUUCGAUCGCGACCCCAGGUCAGGCGGGACUACCCGCUGAGUUUAA
rnacentral:rRNA from 1 species